AUUGAACGCUGGCGGCAUGCCUUACACAUGCAAGUCGAACGGUAACGGGCCUUCGGGUGCCGACGAGUGGCGAACGGGUGAGUAAUGCAUCGGAACGUACCCAUCAGUGGGGGAUAACUCUCCGAAAGGAGGGCUAAUACCGCAUAUUCUGUGCGCAGGAAAGCGGGGGACCGCAAGGCCUCGCGCUGAUGGAGCGGCCGAUGUCAGAUUAGCUAGUUGGUGGGAUAAAGGCCUACCAAGGCGACGAUCUGUAGCGGGUCUGAGAGGAUGAUCCGCCACACUGGGACUGAGACACGGCCCAGACUCCUACGGGAGGCAGCAGUGGGGAAUUUUGGACAAUGGGGGCAACCCUGAUCCAGCCAUGCCGCGUGAGUGAAGAAGGCCUUCGGGUUGUAAAGCUCUUUCGGCCGGGAAGAAAUCGCAUCUCCUAAUACGGGGUGUGGAUGACGGUACCGGAAUAAGAAGCACCGGCUAACUACGUGCCAGCAGCCGCCGUAACAC
rnacentral:rRNA from 1 species